rfam:Oryza rufipogon genomic scaffold, chr01
GAAAAAAAAAAACCUAGUUUUCCGUAUCCAACGUUUAAUUGUCCGUCUUAUAUGAAAUUUUUUUAUAAUUAAUAUUUCCAUUGUUGUUAGAUGAUAAAACAUGAUUAAUACUUUAUGCAUGACUUAUUUUUUUUAAAAAAAAUUUAAAUAAGACGGAUGGUCAAUCAUUGAACAAUGAAACACAGG